CCUACGGGUGGCAGCAGUCGAGAAUCAUUCACAAUGGGGGAAACCCUGAUGGUGCGACGCCGCGUGGGGGAAUGAAGGUCUUCGGAUUGUAAACCCCUGUCAUGUGGGAGCAAAUUAAAAAGAUAGUACCACAAGAGGAAGAGACGGCUAACUCUGUGCCAGCAGCCGCGGUAAUACAGAGGUCUCAAGCGUUGUUCGGAAUCACUGGGCGUAAGGCGUGCGUAGGCGGUUUCGUAAGUCGUGUGUGAAAGGCGCGGGCUCAACCCGCGGACGGCACAUGAUACUGCGAGACUAGAGUAAUGGAGGGGGAACCGGAAUUCUCGGUGUAGCAGUGAAAUGCGUAGAUAUCGAGAGGAACACUAGUGGCGAAGGCGGGUUCCUGGACAUUAACUGACGCUGAGGCGCGAAGGCCAGGGGAGCGAAAGGGAUUAGAUACCCUUGUAGUC
rnacentral:rRNA from 1 species